rnacentral:rRNA from 1 species
GCCAGCAGACAUAUCACCCUGAAGCUCACAGCUGGCAGCCCACUAAAGCUCAGCAGCUGUGAGUCUGGUCAGUACCUGGAUAGGAGACCUCCUGGGAAAGCCAAGGUUGCUGCUGGAA